UCUAGUAAUCUAUAAUUCGGUUA
rnacentral:snRNA from 1 species